CAUGUNUAAGUGCACGUACUGCUAUGCCAAACCGCGGAUGGCUCAUUAAAUCAGCUAUGAUUGAUCAAGCACAGUUCUCCUAAACGGAUAACUGUAGUAAUUCUAGAGCUAAUACGUGCCAAAUAUGUCCUGAUCGUAAGAGAGGGAUGGCUUUAUUAGAUCAAAACUAACCGGGCCUCGGCUUGAUUGGUUUGAUGACUCUGGAUAACGUUUCAAAUCGCAUGACCUCGAGUCGGCGAUAUGCUUGACAAAUGUCUGCCCUAUCAACUAUAGACGGUAGGAUAGUGGCCUACCGUGGUGAUAACGGGUAACGGGGAAUCAGCGUUCGAUUCCGGAGAGGGAGCCUGAGAAAUGGCUACCACAUCCAAGGAAGGCAGCAGGCGCGCAAAUUACCCCUUCUCAGUACGAGGAGGUAGUGACGAAAAAUAACAAAUAUCAUUCCCUAGUGGUUUGAUAUAUUGGAAUGAGUGAAGUUUAAUAACACUUCACGAGUAUCAAAUGGAGGGCAAGUCUGGUGCCAGCAGCCGCGGUAAUUCCAGCUCCAUUAGCGUAUAUUAAAGUUGUUGCAGUUAAAAUGCUCGGAGUUGAAUGAUCAUUACGGAGACCUUGUACGUGUUUAUACAUGUUACUUGGUCGAUGUGAUAUGGAGUUGAUCAUGUCAUUAAUGCUCUUCAUUGAGUGUUAUUGGUAUUCAACAAGUUUACUUUGAAAAAAUUAGAGUGCUCAAAGCAGGCUAUAGCCUGAAUACUAGUGCAUGGAAUAAUGGAAUAGGACUUCGGUUCUAUUUUGUUGGUUUUCAGAACAGAAGUAAUGAUUAAAAGGGACUGACGGGGGCAUUUGUAUGGCUGGGGGAGAGGUGAAAUUCGCAGAUCCUAGCCAGACAAACUACUGCGAAAGCAUUUGCCAAGAAUGUUUUCAUUAAUCAAGAACGAAAGUCAGAGGAUCGAAGGCGAUCAGAUGCCGCCCUAGUUCUGACCAUAAACUAUGCCAUCUGGUAAUCCGUUUGGGAUAUCAUAUUUCCUUACGGGCAGCCCCUGGGAAACCUCAAGUUUCUCGGUUCUGGGGGUAGUAUGGUAGCAAUGCUGAAACUUAAAGGAAUUGACGGAAGGGCACCACCAGGAGUGGAGCCUGUUGCUUAAUUUGACUCAACACGGGAAAACUUACCCGGCCCGGACUUCGAAAGGAUUGACAGAUUGAGAGCUCUUUCUUGAUACGGAGGAUGGUGGUGCAUGGCCGUUUUUAGUUGGUGGAGUGAUUUGUCUGGUUAAUUCCGAUAACGAACGAGACUCUAGCCUACUAAAUAGUGAAUUGAUAUAUUUAUAUAUGUCAAUAUUGACUUCUUAGAGGGACAGGCGGGUCCUAAACCGCAUGAAAAAGAGCAAAAACAGGUCUGUGAUGCCCUUAGAUGUCCGGGGCCGCAAACGCGCUACACUGGCAGUAUCAGAAAGUAAUUUCCAAUGCCGAAACGGAGGGGAACCUUUAUAAUAACUGUCGUGACAGGGAUCGUGGUUUGUAAUUAUCCCACGUGAACGAGGAAUUCCCAGUAAGUGCUUGUCAUUAGCAAGCGCUGAUUACGUCCCUGCCCUUUGUACACACCGCCCGUCGCUACUACCGAUUGGAUGGUUUAGUGAGGUUAUUGGAUCGGUGUUAGUGAGAUGGUCAAACGUCUUACCGACGCUGAGAAGAUAAUCAAACUUGGCCAUUUAGAGGAAGUAAAAGUCGUAACAAGGUUUCCGUAGUGAAC
rnacentral:rRNA from 1 species